rnacentral:ncRNA from 2 species
UUGUUUUAAAAAGUCUACGGUACCGAUAUGGUUUAAUAGGGAAAGCGGUGAAAAUCCGCUGCAGCCCCCGCUACUGUAUACGGAGACGAAUCCUAACCACUGGCAAUGCUGGGAAGGUAGGAGGAGAAUGACCCGUCAGCCAGGAGACCUGCCUAGUCUUUAGCUAAUC